UGCCGGGUGGAGCAGUGGCCCAGCUCGCCAGGUUCAUAUCCUGGAGGUCGCAGGUUCGAAUCCUGCCCCGGAAC
rnacentral:tRNA from 1 species